rnacentral:rRNA from 1 species
CAGCAGCCGCGGUAAUACGUAGGUCCCGAGCGUUGUCCGGAUUUAUUGGGCGUAAAGCGAGCGCAGGCGGUUGGAUAAGUCUGAAGUUAAAGGCUGCGGCUUAACCAUAGUACGCUUUGGAAACUGUUUAACUUGAGUGCAAGAGGGGAGAGUGGAAUUCCAUGUGUAGCGGUGAAAUGCGUAGAUAUAUGGAGGAACACCGGUGGCGAAAGCGGCUCUCUGGCUUGUAACUGACGCUGAGGCUCGAAAGCGUGGGGAGCAAACAGGAUUAGAUACCCCUGUAGUCCCUGUCUCUUAUACA